UCUUUAGGUGCACUCAGGUGACUUCAUCUAGUUCCAUUGCUCUGAAUGCAUUUUAGAUGCUGGUGGCCCCCCGGCUUGAUACCCAGCCCGUCCUUCUCCCCUGAGCCGCAGGCUCCCUGAGGGCACAGACACCAGUUACCUGUGUGUCCUCAGCAGCUAGCCCGUGUCUGGUUCAGAGAACCACGUUUAGGGGCUGGAACACAGAGGCUCAUUAGCUGAAUGCGCAGAAGGAGUGCAUUCAAAUCAGAUGUUCAGAAGGAGGUGGGCAGGAGGCAGGCG